GACGGGGGGGGCAAGUGUUCUUCGGAAUGACUGGGCGUCAAGGGCACGUAGGCGGUGAAUCGGGUUGAAAGUGAAAGUCGCCAAAAAGUGGCGGAAUGCUCUCGAAACCAAUUCACUUGAGUGGGACAGAGGAGAGUGGAAUUUCGUGUGUAGGGGUGAAAUCCGUAGAUCUACGAAGGAAGGCCAAAAGCGAAGGCAGCUCUCUGGGUCCCUACCGACGCUGAGGUGCGAAAUCAUGGGGAGCGAACAGG
rnacentral:rRNA from 1 species